GAUGAACGCUGACAGAAUGCUUAACACAUGCAAGUCGAUGGGGAAGUGGUGCUUGCACCAUGGCAACCAUGGCGGACGGGUGAGUAACGCGUAAGGGACUUACCUGCAGGACUGGGAUAACAGGGGGAAACUCCUGACAAGACCGGAUAAUGUCAUGGAGCUGCAUGGCUUUAUGAUGAAAGGAGACGCCUGCGGAGAGCCUUGCGUCCUAUUAGCUAGUUGGUGAGGUAAUGGCUCACCAAGGCGAAGAUAGGUAGCCGGCCUGAGAGGGUGGACGGCCACAAGGGGACUGAGAUACGGCCCUGACUCCUACGGGAGGCAGCAGUGGGGAAUAUUGGACAAUGGGGGCAACCCUGAUCCAGCAAUUCUGUGUGCACGAAGAAGGUUUUCGGAUUGUAAAGUGCUUUCAGCAGGGAAGAAGUAAGUGACGGUACCUGCAGAAGAAGCGACGGCUAAAUACGUG
rnacentral:rRNA from 1 species